AGAGUUUGAUCCUGGCUCAGGAUGAACGCUGGCGGCGUGCUUAACACAUGCAAGUCGAACGAAGCACUUUAAUUGAUUUCUUCGGAAUGAAGUUUUUGUGACUGAGUGGCGGACGGGUGAGUAACGCGUGGGUAACCUGCCUCAUACAGGGGGAUAACAGUUGGAAACGACUGCUAAUACCGCAUAAGCGCACAGGAUUGCAUGAUCCAGUGUGAAAAACUCCGGUGGUAUAAGAUGGACCCGCGUCUGAUUAGCCAGUUGGCGGGGUAACGGCCCACCAAAGCAACGAUCAGUAGCCGACCUGAGAGGGUGAACGGCCACAUUGGGACUGAGACACGGCCCAGACUCCUACGGGAGGCAGCAGUGGGGAAUAUUGCACAAUGGGGGAAACCCUGAUGCAGCGACGCCGCGUGAAGGAAGAAGUAUUUCGGUAUGUAAAGCUCUAUCAGCAGGGAAGAAAAUGACGGUACCUGACUAAGAAGCACCGGCUAAAUACGUGCCAGCAGCCGCGGUAAUACGUAUGGUGCAAGCGUUAUCCGGAUUUACUGGGUGUAAAGGGAGCGUAGGUGGCAAGGCAAGCCAGAAGUGAAAACCCGGGGCUCAACCGCGGGAUUGCUUUUGGAACUGUCAUGCUAGAGUGCAGGAGGGGUGAGCGGAAUUCCUAGUGUAGCGGUGAAAUGCGUAGAUAUUAGGAGGAACACCGGAGGCGAAGGCGGCUCACUGGACUGUAACUGACACUGAGGCUCGAAAGCGUGGGGAGCAANACAGGAUUAGAUACCCUGGUAGUCCACGCGGUAAACGAUG
rnacentral:rRNA from 1 species